CGAGAGACGAUGGAAACCUGGUUUUGACAAGUCUUUGGGGUGAUUCUUAUGCAAGUUAAAAACUGGGCCCAGUGCUAUCAGUGAACUAUGGGAGGACACAUUGGAUAUCCUCUUCUGGCUACAUGCUCAUCACUGUGCUGGUCCACACAAUUUACAGAUUCUAAGGCAAAGUGAAAAUUUCCAACCCAUGUAAAAAAGUAAAAGAAGAAUAAAAC
rnacentral:lncRNA from 1 species